CCAUAUCAUGGAAACAUGCGGCCCAGACGUUCAAAGAUCCAAUAACAUAAAAGAGAUUGAAAUCAGAAGCACUGGGACAUAAAUAUGCACUGAUUAUAUUCUACAGUCUCAUCUAUAAUCCACAUCAGCAAGCGUGUAAUCAGACGGUCUUUCUGUGGAGUUAGUUAAAUAAAUAAAGACAUGACAUUAAAAUGAUAUUAUUCUCAACUCUGAAGCCCUGAAGAACUCCUUUGAUUUUAAGGUUUAAUUGCAGCUCUGAUGUGCAUCGGAUCAGAUUGUUAUUUGCAUAUAACAAAACACAAAUUCGCAUAAACAACAUCAUUACAGCAACAGUACAUUUAAUCUCACUAUUAAGCAUCAGAACCCAAGCACACUUAUGAGAGGAGAACAAAUGGUUUACAGAGCUAAACUAUCGUGAUAUGAUUAUGAUCACAGAGCUUAAAACAAGGCACGUCAAAAGGGACUCCAAACGCAUAAGACGCAGCCUCUUGAAAUGGUUGCAAACAUUGUGGUUUCAUGAGGGCCUUAUUUCCCCAUGCUGAGGAGGGAGUGUCAUAUGUGUGCGAACUCAGCCAAAGCUCAAGGGGAGAAGAUGGACUUAAAUUCUGCUCUGGCAACAGAAUUCUAUUCAGACUGACACUUGAGGACCAGAAGUCAGGAGAAGCUGGCAGAAAAAGAGAGCGGGAAGGUCACCGGAGGUCAGACGUGUGCUCUUUCAAACCUGACAAUUCACGUAGGUCUUUUCCUCCUGUGUGACCCGUUUCCACUGCCUUCACGAGGACGCCUUGAAACCGCCUCACUGGAGAGGCUCACGACAGGGGCGGUUAGAAACCGCGCCAGGUUUUUUUUUUUUUUGUAUCUAAUCAUCUUUUUUUCCCAAUGUGGAAAGAUCUCGUGAACUGAUCGAUUGAUCGCCUCGAGAUUGUGGUUCAAGUUCAGAUGAAAUCGUGAUGUCAUGCUUCAGUGACUCACAAUGAAAGUGAACGGGUGAUUCAGAGAACUGGAAAAAUAUACUUUAAUAUUUCUUGCUUUCUUGAUUUUUUUUUUCUGUUAGUCAAUUUUACAGCUUCUCUGUAUUCCCUUAGGAAACAGAUCACUGACCAGGGAAAUUUCCCAGUUUUAACAAAUAAACACAUGGGUUUCUUUACA
ensembl:lncRNA